CCAAUAGCGUAUAUUAAAGUUGUUGCAGUUAAAAAGCUCGUAGUUGAAUUUCGGGAUUGACCCAUCGGUCGUGCCUUAAGGGGUAUGAACUGGUGUAGUCAAUUUCUCACCUUCUGGAGAACCGCGAUGUCCUUAAUUGGGUGCCGCGAGGAACCAGGACCUUUACUUUGAAAAAAUUAGAGUGUUUAAAGCAGGCAUUUUUGCUUGAAUACAUUAGCAUGGAAUAAUAAAAUAGGACGGCAUGAUUCUAUUUUGUUGGUUUCUAGGAUCACCGUAAUGAUUAAUAGGGAUAGUUGGGGGCAUUAGUAUUCAAUUGUCAGAGGUGAAAUUCUUGGAUUUAUUGAAGACUAACUAUUGCGAAAGCAUUUGCCAAGGAUGUUUUCAUUAAUCAAGAACGAAAGUUAGGGGAUCGAAGACGAUCAGAUACCGUCGUAGUCUUAACCAUAAACUAUGCCGACUAGGAAUCAGACGAUGUUAAUUUUUUAAUGACUCGUUUGGCACCUUACG
rnacentral:rRNA from 1 species